AUCUGCCUCUCUCUGUCUGCCUGCCUUAGCAUCACUGUGCUACCAUAUUGCCGGAUACCUCUAAAGUAUCAGAGGCCGUGAUUUAAAACGGCUCAGUGGCGACGUAGCGAGUCCGCUGAACGGGGAAGAAAGCGGGAGAACAUGACGCAGCCGAGAGAGGAGCCUCGUGGCCAUUGCUCCCCGACAAUAGCUGAGCAGCCAGCUGGCGUGCCAGGAGGCGUCUUGGUGGACUGUCGCUGGACCAAAACCGGAAAAGAGAAGUUGGUAGUUGGUCGCAUCAUCUGUCGGCGAUGCCAAAAGGAAGAGAAGAAAAGGGCUGAACGCUGGUGGUUACAGCUGAUUCCCGA
ensembl:lncRNA